rnacentral:lncRNA from 1 species
UAAAAUGCAGUAAAUAAAUAUAAAAUUCAUCCACUUUAAUUAAAAAGAUAAUGCGUGUGUUAGUAACCAAAUGCAUGAUGCAACUUGGAAAUAAAAUUAAAUAAUUAAAGUGCAUGACAAAUUGAAAUGAAAGAAAUAAAUAAAAAAAAAUCAUCAAUGCUUUUAAAUUGUAAUGUUGAGUAAAAAAAAAUUAUGAAAUGCUCAUUUCUCUAGCGCACGCAUCACAACAAAAUUAAUAAAAGAAAAAGAAAAAUGCAUGAAUCAAUUAAAGAUCCAACAUUAAACUAAUAAACAAAAUGCUGUUACGUAUCACAACAAAAUUAAUAAAAAGAAAAAGAAGAAUGCAUGAAUCAAUUAAAGAUGCAAUAUUAAACUAAUAAACAAAAUGCCGUUAUGAAUAAAAAAGAAUUUGCCACCUCUUCACCGAAAACAGCCACGUGUGUCCUCACCAAAUUAAAAAUCACCAUGCUCUAAAAACGCUGGACGUCCUUCACCAUUCAAAAUGAAAAAAAAAACGUUGUUAUCCAAUUAAAUGCACCAUUGCUGUGACCGUGAGCUAGCUUCCAAUAUCAAUCACCACUUGUGCAUCCUAAAGCAAAUCAUAAUUGCUGGAAUAAAAUUUUGGCAUAAAACAACGUGCUUCUAAAUUAAAGAAAACUUGAAUCAGCGUAUUUUCUUCUAGGAGAUUAAAGUUGUUGCGUGAGCUGCUGCACCAUCGAAUCACCGAAUGUGCAUCUUCUAAUUAACAUCAAAACGAACAACACAAAAUGAAAAGUGUAUCUACAAAGUGGCUGGAC